rnacentral:tRNA from 1 species
GGGUGUGGUGGCGCGCGGGUUCGGGCCUAAGAGGUUUCUGGAUUUUGCAGGCGCGUGGCAGACGGCCUGGCGGUUCAAUUCUGCCAUCGCCUU